CUUGGGGUUUCCAGGAUCCCACUUUUGAGGACCCAGGAGCCCACCCUUAGGGGUCCCAGGAUCCCACCCUUGGGGUCCCAGGAUCCUACCCUUGGGAGUUCCAGGAUCCUACCCUUGGGAGUUCCAGGAUCCCACCACUGGGAGCUCCAGGAUCCCACUCUUGGGGACCCAGGAUCCCACUCUUGAGAGUUCCAGGAUCCCACUCUUGAGAGUUCCAGGAUCCCACUCUUGGGGGACCCAGGAUCCCACUCUUGGGGGUUCCAGGAUCCCACCCUCAGGGGUCCCAGGAUCCCACUCUUGGGGGUUCCAGGAUCCCACCCUUAGGGGUCCCAGGAUCCCACUGUUGGGGUCCCAGGAUCCCACCCUUGGGAGUUCCAGGAUCCCACCACUGGGAGCUCCAGGAUGCCAUCCUUGGGGACCCAGGAUCCCACUCUUGGGGUUUCCAGGAUCCCACCCUUAGGGGUCCCAGGAUCCCACUUUUGAGGACCCAGGAGCCCACCCUUGAGAGUUCCAGGAUCCCACUCUUGGGGGUCCCAGGAUCCCACCCUGUGAGUGGGAUGUGGAAUAAAUGCUGGUCCUUGUCACAAA